GACGAACCGUGCGAACGUUAUUCGGAAUCACUGGGCUUAAAGCGCGCGUAGGCGGUCCUUUAAGUCUGAUGUGAAAGGUUCACGGCUCAACCGGAACAGUGCAUUGGAUACUGGGGGACUUGAGUCUGGAAGAGGAAAGCGGAAUUCCUGGUGUAGCGGUGAAAUGCGUAGAUAUCAGGAGGAACACCGAUGGCGAAGGCAGCUUUCUGGUCUAAGACUGACGCUGAGGUGCGAAAGCGUGGGGAGCGAACGGG
rnacentral:rRNA from 1 species